GAUCAUGGNUCAGGAUGAACGCUAGCUACAGGCUUAACACAUGCAAGUCGAGGGGCAGCAUGACCUAGCAAUAGGUUGAUGGCGACCGGCGCACGGGUGAGUAACACGUAUCCAACCUACCGGUUAUUCCGGGAUAGCCUUUCGAAAGAAAGAUUAAUACCGGAUAGUAUAACGAGAAGGCAUCCUUUUGUUAUUAAAGAAUUUCGAUAACCGAUGGGGAUGCGUUCCAUUAGUUUGUUGGCGGGGUAACGGCCCACCAAG
rnacentral:rRNA from 1 species